rnacentral:rRNA from 1 species
AACGAACGCUGGCGGCGUGCCUAAUAUAUGCAAGUCGAGCGCGAAAGGAGCAAUCCGAGUAGAGCGGCGCACGGGUGCGUAACACGUGGGUAAUCUGCCUCAGGGUUGAGGACAACCUUCCGAAAGGUUGGCUAAUACUCGGUAAGCUUACGGUGACUUCGGUCGCUGUGAGAAAACUAGACCUCUAUUUAUAAGUUUAGGCCCAGAGAUGAGCCCGCGGCCCAUCAGCUAGUUGGCGGGGUAACGGCCCACCAAGGCAACGACGGGUAGCUGGGCUGGAAGGACGAUCAGCAAAACGGGAACUGAGACACGGUCCAGACUCCUACGGGAGGCAGCAGUGGGGAAUUUUCCACAAUGGGCGAAAGCCUGAUGGAGCAACGCCGCGUGUGUGAUGAAGGUCUUCGGAUCGUAAAGCACUUUCGACCGGGACGAAAAACCUCUGGCUAACAUCCAGGGGCCUGACGGUACCGGGAGAAGAAGCACCGGCUAACUCUGUGCCAGCCGCCGCCGUAAUAC